UUUAAGCAUAUCACUCAGUGGAGGAAGCGCAAGCAACGGCGAUUGCCGCAGUAACGGCGAGUGAAAUGGCAACAGACACGGACCUGCAAACGGGCUCAGCCCGGACUGGAGAUCUCCCCCCGCACGCGCCUCCCGGCUCCGGCCAUGGGACGGAACGCGUCCGGCUCCCCGGUGGGUCUCAGCAGAUGCUGUGGGUGACGGGGGCGGGCGGUGCGCCCCACCGGGUCGGCCCGGCGCCAGGAAGAGCCCUGGAACGGCUCACUACACAGGGAUACUGUCCCGUACGCUCAGCGUUCCUGCGCCGGGCCCCCGUGGGGCGUGGCCGUCGCGCCAUCCAGGAGUAGAGUGGCUUGGGACUGCAGUUUGAACGGCGGGGUGUAUCCACCGCAAGGAAGAACACCGGCGCGGGACCGAUAGCGCACAAGUAGAGUGAUUGAAGGAUGCAAAGGACUCUGCAAAGAGGGUUAAAAGUCCCUGAAGCCUCGGCGGGAUCGGCGGCGCGGGUGUGUCGUGGCGAACGGCGGUGUAGCGAGGCACCGCCGCCACAGGAUUCGGCAUCAUUCCCCUCCACGGCCUAUGUGCGGAUCUCCGUGGACACUGGUUCGAACAGAGAAGCACCCAGGCGGCCCUGGGCCUGCCCACUGCCGGGCCCACCGAGCCCCGUCUCCCCGGAGCGGGACGUCUUCGUGGCGGCAACGCACCCGUGGUGGCACUCAGCCUGCCCGGGCCCGGGGCUCAACGGCGAGAUGUUUCCCCCAGAGGUUCCCCCUGCGCGGAGGACAGAAUGUGAGUGUGUGCGAGCGCUGCGGCGCGAGGCCAGUCUGUCGGAGAGGAAGGACCCCCCGCGACACAGGGGCGGCGUGCUGUACCAAGAUCCAUUCCCACCGGCGCGUCUCCGGACGGCGCCGGUCGCUGGUGCCCAGGAUGACGGUUCGGGGUUCGGCGGGGCCUUGCGGGGGUUGCACCACUCGGUUGGUGGCCGCCGCACUGUUGCCCCCCGGCCCUCCGGCUGGUGCCCAGCGCAGAGAGCAGUUGGCGGCGAAGCCUGGGGGACCCCCGCUGGUCGGCGGCGCCCCGCGCUGCCCGUCUUGAAACACGGACCAAGGAGUCUAUGGAGCGUGCGGGUUGGCAGGUGGGCCACCCGCGAAACCGGAGGGACCCGGCGAAGGCAAUGCCUUGCCCCGGACGGUUGCGGCGGCCUCGGCCGUCCUCCCGCACGGGGCACCGGUCCCGACGUCCAUCGGACAGGGUUCUGAGUGAAUGCACGGUCCAUGGGACCCGAAAGGUGGUGAACUAUACCAUUCCACGGCGAAGCCCUGGGAAACCGGGGUGGAGGCCGGUCGCUGUUCUGACGUGCAAAUUGUGUAGCCUGAGCGUGGCAUAGGGGUGAAAGGCCAAUCGAACCACCUAGUAGCUGGUUUCCCUCGAAGUUUCCCUCAGGAUAGCUGGGCCCGGAUGCAACCGGAGAUCGGCAGUGCGGUUCCGCCCGGUAAAGCAACGAUGAGCGGUUUCCUCCGGGGGGGCUCUCCCCCUCGACCUAUUCUCGAACUGUGAAUGGGCGUGGCACAACACCACCCCAACCCCAACAGGCAUGCUGCUUCACCAACGCCCGGGAGCCCGCCCCAGCCGGGGCCCGGUCCUCCGCGGCCUCUGAGCGUGUUUGAGACCUGCGUCCGUCGACCGAGCAGCCCCCGCGCCUGUGGGCCACGGGCACCGCCGGUUCCCCGACGGGCGGCAGAACGAUCCAUUGAACGCGCGUGCCUAUGUGGACCACCAUUGGUAAGCAGUGCUGGUGAUGCGGGAUGCUCCGAGAGCGGCCUUACAGGGCCCGAGUGCUGGCUCAUACACAGACCCCACAAAGGAUGUCGCCUGCUAGAGAUAGCAGGGCGGUGGCCAUGAAGGUUGGAACCCGCUAAGGAAUGUGUAACAACCCACCUGCCCAAGCGGGCGGCUCCGAAAAUGGAUGGUGCCCAAGUCAGCGAAGCUGCGAUCGCCUCACAGUCCGCCGCCCCUGUGGCGGCCAAGCAGAGCAUCGGCGUGUAGAACGGACACGGGAGCUUGCCGUGCCCGCCGGGGUCAACCCCGGCCCGAGUGCCUCCUGGCGCAGAUCUUGGUUGUAGUAGCGAGUACUCCAUCUGGAGAGGAGCGUUUGGGUCCCCUGUGGGCCGCGGGGUCACCCGCCCCCCACUGCCCGACGCUGUGUGCGGUUGAGGACUGGAGUGGAGCAGGUUUCCACAUCAAACAGCCGUUGAAUGUGGGUCAGCCGACCGUGAGCCAAGUGGUAACUUCACCGCGCAACCAAGGCCGCCACGGCGGGGUCCCCCCGGCGCUGUGCCGAGUCUCCCCCUCGGGGGGGACGCCGGUGAGCCCGGGCGGGCCCCCCGCUGUGGGCGGGAGUGGCAAACAGGCAAGCAUGGACAACCUUCUGCUGUGAUGGGCUUGGAGCAAAACCCUCUGGGUGGCAACGCCCAGCGAACCGUCGACCGCCAGCAGGGGCACAGGCCCGGCGGGGCAGCGCACCCCCCGGGGAGUUCUCGUUUCCUCCUGAUGACAGGCUCAUGCGGGCUAUCGAUUGGCAUGACAAGUGGUGGUGUGCGCCCUCCGCCCAGCAAGGCAGCGCGGCCUCCGCGCUGGUGGUGUCUCCUCCCACCACGCAGAUUCAACAAAGGACUUCGUGUGUCUCCCUCAUUCGAUGCGACCCCCGGUACUGCGGCGGGCGCUGGCUCCAGUGAACGGCCUGUGCGGGGCGCCCGUGUUCCGGGACCGUGGUCCUCGUACUGUAUCACCGCAGCCGGUCUCCUCGGCUAGACGCCGCUUGUCGACGGAACGAAUGCAGCUAAGGGAAGUCGGCAAACCAGCCGUGUACCCUCGGAAGAUGCGGUGGCUCCAGCGGCCAGGGUUUGCGGGGUCCCGCCGCGGGCCCGCGUGGCGCGGCUUUCGGCACCCUCCUUCGCGUGGACCGGACCCCCUCCGGGGGGGCCGCCGUCUGUGCCUCGGAGCGGACUUGUCGAUCGCUGCAGACGCUGCCACGGAAUAUCCAAAGACCUCGAUCCUGUCCCUGCCGCGGCGGGGGGGCCCGUCCCUACCGGGACCGCGCCCCGACCCACCCGCGCCCGUCCUGUGGCCCAUGUGGAACUGUUGCUGUGCGGGGGAACCUGACUGUUUAAUUGAAACCCAGCUUUGUGACGGGACCAGCUGGCUGGUUCCAUGAGGUGACUUCUGCCCAGUGCUCUGAUUGUCAAUGCGAAGAGAUUCAGCCAAGCGCGGGUAAACGGCGGGAGUAACUAUGACUCUCUUAAGGUAGCCAAAUGCCUCGUCAACCAAUUAUUGACGCGCAUGAAUGGAUCAACGAGGUUCCUGCUGUCCCUAGCUGCCGUCCGGUGAACCAACAGCCAAGGGAACGGGCUUGGGUGUGUCAGCGGGGAAAGAA
rnacentral:rRNA from 1 species